GCGGGUGUAGUUCAGUGGUAGAACGUCAGCCUUCCAAGCUGAAUGUCGUCGGUUCGACUCCGAUCACCCGCU
rnacentral:tRNA from 2 species